ACUCCUACGGGAGGCAGCAGUGGGGAAUUUUGGACAAUGGGCGAAAGCCUGAUCCAGCCAUGCCGCGUGCAGGAUGAAGGCCUUCGGGUUGUAAACUGCUUUUGUACGGAACGAAACGGCCUUUUCUAAUAAAGAGGGCUAAUGACGGUACCGUAAGAAUAAGCACCGGCUAACUACGUGCCAGCAGCCGCGGUAAUACGUAGGGUGCAAGCGUUAAUCGGAAUUACUGGGCGUAAAGCGUGCGCAGGCGGUUAUGUAAGACAGUUGUGAAAUCCCCGGGCUCAACCUGGGAACUGCAUCUGUGACUGCAUAGCUAGAGUACGGUAGAGGGGGAUGGAAUUCCGCGUGUAGCAGUGAAAUGCGUAGAUAUGCGGAGGAACACCGAUGGCGAAGGCAAUCCCCUGGACCUGUACUGACGCUCAUGCACGAAAGCGUGGGGAGCAAACAGGAUUAGAUACCCCAGUAGUCCCA
rnacentral:rRNA from 1 species